rnacentral:rRNA from 1 species
AGUGAACGCUGGCGGUAGGCCUAACACAUGCAAGUCGAACGGCAGCACAGUAAGAGCUUGCUCUUACGGGUGGCGAGUGGCGGACGGGUGAGGAAUACAUCGGAAUCUACUUUUUCGUGGGGGAUAACGUAGGGAAACUUACGCUAAUACCGCAUACGACCUACGGGUGAAAGCAGGGGAUCUUCGGACCUUGCGCGAUUGAAUGAGCCGAUGUCGGAUUAGCUAGUUGGCGGGGUAAAGGCCCACCAAGGCGACGAUCCGUAGCUGGUCUGAGAGGAUGAUCAGCCACACUGGAACUGAGGCACGGUCCAGGCUCCUACGGGAGGCAGCAGUGGGGAAUAUUGGACAAUGGGCGCAAGCCUGAUCCAGCCAUACCGCGUUGGUGAAGGAAGCCUUCGGGUUGUAAAGCCCUUUUGUUGGGAAAGAAAAGCAGCAGGUUAAUACCCCGCUGUUCUGACGGUACCCAAAGAAUAAGCACCGGCUAACUUCGUG